rnacentral:rRNA from 1 species
UACAGAGGUCUCAAGCGUUGUUCGGAUUCAUUGGGCGUAAAGGGUGCGUAGGCGGCGCGGUAAGUCGGGUGUGAAAUCUCGGAGCUUAACUCCGAAACUGCAUUCGAUACUGUCGUGCUUGAGGACUGGAGAGGAGACUGGAAUUUACGGUGUAGCGGUGAAAUGCGUAGAUAUCUGGAGGAAUACCGGUGGCGAAGGCGGCAUCCUGGACCGGCAUUGACGCUGAGGAGCGAAAGCCAGGGGAGCAAACGGG